rnacentral:rRNA from 1 species
AACGAACGCUGGCGGCAUGCCUAACACAUGCAAGUCGAACGAGACCUUCGGGUCUAGUGGCGCACGGGUGCGUAACGCGUGGGAACCUGCCCUUAGGUUCGGAAUAACUCCCCGAAAGGGGUGCUAAUACCGGAUAAUGUCUUCGGACCAAAGAUUUAUCGCCUUUGGAUGGGCCCGCGUUGGAUUAGCUAGUUGGUAGGGUAAAAGCCUACCAAGGCGACGAUCCAUAGCUGGUCUGAGAGGAUGAUCAGCCACACUGGGACUGAGACACGGCCCAGACUCCUCCGGGAGGCAGCAGUGGGUAAUAUUGGACAAUGGGCGAAAGCCUGAUCGAGCAAGGCCGCGUGAGUGAUGAAGGCCUUAGGGUUGUAAAGCUCUUUUAACCGGGAUGAUAAUGACAGUACCGGGAGAAUAAGCCCCGGCUAACUACGUG